UCUUCUUUCUCUUUCUUCUCUUCUCUGCUCUUUUCUAUACUUCAGUCGAGCGCUGGUUUGAGAAACAAAUCGGAGAUUAGGAGGUCGUAUAAAGAGCAUAUGGGUUGUACAGAUUGUUGUUGAUGGUGUUGAAGUUAGUUGGAGUUAAGGAUGAAGAAGAUAGAGUUGCUACUGUUAGCGGAAGUUAGGGUUUUAAAUUUGGGAUGUAGAAAUCAAGAGUAAUUGAUGAAUCAAUCGAGAACCUUGAUUAUUAUUGAUGGUGGUGUUGAUGCAAAAGUUUAAUUCAACUCAUAUAAGGUAAACCAGAAUUCAGAAAUUAGGGUUUGUCGAUAGUCUUAUGAAUUUAUGUGAAAUAAUUUUAUAACUGCGUAAUUAGUUAUGGGUAUGUACUUAAUUGUAGUUUGGUUGGAUGUAUUGAGUUCAAUUUCAGUUUACGUAGGAUAUUGAUUUGGGAAUUAGGGUUUGUGUUUUUGAUUGAAGUGUUUCCAGAAACUGGUUCUGAUAAGGGGGAUGAAUUACUACUAGAGAUACAAUUAGGAGGUUUUGAGAUUUGAUUAUGAAGAGAGUGUUAUAGAACUGUGGUAUGCAAUUUAGACUUAUGUUGAACUGCAGGGAAAAAGAAAUGGACGUUAAUGGAUUUUUGUUUUAAAAUGGAUAAUUGAGAUGAAUGACAGGGAAGAAGGGCAUUAGUGUUUGAAGUGAAGAACUUGUGUAUGUUGCUAGUAUCUUUGCACAUCAGUGGAACUGUUAAUGUUGGGAUUCACAUCCGCAGGGGUCAUUGGAGUGGCAAUCGUUGGAGUUUGAAUGUUAUAGAAACUGAAGAUGGGUGUAGUGAUGUUAACUGUAUUUAUGAAUGGAUUUGCUGUAGUGGUUGAGUUAUGUAAAUUACAGGUGAAGAUCGAGUUGAAAUGAGUAUAGGUUAGGUAAGUGAAAUGAAAUGAAGAUGAAAUUGAGUCUCUGUUGGUGUUGUUAAGUGAGAGAGAUACAAUUGUGGUUGUAAUUUUUCAGUGGCAGUUCAGUUGUGUUGGUGGUUUGAGAUGAUGAUUGUAUACGUAUUGAGAUAAGAGUAUGUUAUGAAUGAGGUUGUGUUGCUGGUAAGCCGAUAGUGUAGGAGAAGGCUGUAGUUUGGAUUUGAUCUGUAAUUGAGAAGGAAAAAAGUAACAUACUUAUAAGGGGAAUUGAAAUGAGAUUAAGUCAGGGUGCGUGCAAUUGGAACUGGAGUUGGAGAUAGUAAUGAAAUUAUGAUUGAAUCAGUUGUGUAUGUAUGGUGUUGAGUUUUAUGUGACUGAAGUUUUGGAAAGAGAGUUAAGUGAAUGUGUUGAGAUGAUCUGAGGUUGCUUAAACCUACAAUUGCAGGAUGAACCAGUGGAUCAUGGAUCUCGAGGUAGGCGUUGGCUUGUCAUCAAAAGAGGUGGGAAUACAUUUCACUCUUUUGUAACCGUUGAUGUUUCUUUUAUAAAAGUUUAUGUCUAACAAACUCAUGUAAUUUUCGUUUAUGCAUUCCAUGCAUUGUUUAAUUUGAAUUCCGACAGUUAUGUUAUUUCUUUUAAUCUUUACAUCGUUUGGAAAGGAACAAUAAUAUUUGAUUCGUAUUUAUGAAUUGUUGGGAAAUAA